rnacentral:rRNA from 1 species
AUUGAACGCUGGCGGCAGGCCUAACACAUGCAAGUCGAACGGUAACAGGAAGAAGCUUGCUUCUUUGCUGACGAGUGGCGGACGGGUGAGUAAUGUCUGGGAAACUGCCUGAUGGAGGGGGAUAACUACUGGAAACGGUAGCUAAUAUCGCAUAACGUCGCAAGACCAAAGAGGGGGACCUUCGGGCCUCUUGCCAUCGGAUGUGCCCAGAUGGGAUUAGCUAGUAGGUGGGGUAACGGCUCACCUAGGCGACGAUCCCUAGCUGGUCUGAGAGGAUGACCAGCCACACUGGAACUGAGACACGGUCCAGACUCCUACGGGAGGCAGCAGUGGGGAAUAUUGCACAAUGGGCGCAAGCCUGAUGCAGCCAUGCCGCGUGUAUGAAGAAGGCCUUCGGGUUGUAAAGUACUUUCAGCGGGGAGGAAGGGAGUAAAGUUAAUACCUUUGCUCAUUGACGUUACCCGCAGAAGAAGCACCGGCUAACUCCGUG